GACGAACGCUGGCGGCGUGCUUAACACAUGCAAGUCGAACGAGAAGAGAUGAGAAGCUUGCUUCUUAUCAAUUCGAGUGGCAAACGGGUGAGUAACGCGUAAGCAACCUGCCCUUCAGAUGGGGACAACAGCUGGAAACGGCUGCUAAUACCGAAUACGUUCUUUUUGUCGCAUGGCAGAGGGAAGAAAGGGAGGCUCUUCGGAGCUUUCGCUGAAGGAGGGGCUUGCGUCUGAUUAGCUAGUUGGAGGGGUAACAGCCCACCAAGGCGACGAUCAGUAGCCGGUCUGAGAGGAUGAACGGCCACAUUGGGACUGAGACACGGCCCAGACUCCUACGGGAGGCAGCAGUGGGGAAUCUUCCGCAAUGGACGAAAGUCUGACGGAGCAACGCCGCGUGAACGAUGACGGCCUUCGGGUUGUAAAGUUACGUGUUAUAC
rnacentral:rRNA from 1 species